ensembl:lncRNA
GGAUCUUCUGAAAUCUCUGACGGUACGUCACCGGCCACCGCCCAGAGGACACCGUACGGCGCCCGGAGGAUAGGCGGCGCAGGGUGGGACCCGCCGGGAACUGUCUCAAGCCACCCGCCGGCUAGAGAAAGCGUCGGAGACAGCAACUGCUCUGGAAGCUGAAGCCGGAAGCUCCGCCCGACCUCGCCUGUGGCGGGUCCGGGUUAGGCCAGUUCGAACGUGACCUUGUUUUGCCGUUGCUAGGAGACCGGGCUCCCGCACGCCCCCCAAUGGCCAGCUCCCGGGUGCGCGCUGAAGGGGGGCGGGGCCGCGGCUGCUGAGCGGAGGGAUCGGCCGGGCACCGUUAGCGGGCCUGGCGCACGGCGCCAGCCGGGCGCCCCUAGAAGCCGCGUAUCACCCUCGGCCACCAACGGGACCUCACUGGUGCCUUCCGACAGGUAGCAGCGCGCUCCCGAGCGGCUGUGAACGACGCUGGGUCCAGACCAGGAAAGACGACUCCAGUUCCGGAGUCUUGUAGCUGGAUCCCCUAGGAAGAGAAAUUCUGAAGCAGUAAGAAGAAAGCAUUUCAAUUUGGA